rnacentral:tRNA from 1 species
UUGCAAGUUGGUGUAAUGGUAGCACAUUAGUUUCAUAGGCUAAAGAUAAGGUUCGACUCCUUGCUUGCCCCC